AAAAAGAUACUAUAGGACGAGAAUGGAAUACCUUAGAGGGGAUAUAUUAAGAUGGAAUCAGUGGCCCCCGUGUUCCUUGGCAUGCUGCUGGUGCUCGAGGUGGCGACGCUCUUCGGGAAGAGCAACGAGGUAAGAUAAGAUCAUGCCGCCGAAGCAGACAUGAUAGAGUGGAUCAAUGGAGCUGGUCUGAAUAUACUUGGCGUAGUAAGUAUCCAAUCCUCUUUUCACCGAUCCCUUCACGUACUCCAUCGUAAACAUAGGCUUCAGGUGAGCCGGCAGCUCCCUCACCUUCAUCGCCUUAAUCUCGUUAUAGAAAUUCCUCAUCGCCAUUCUUGACGGAUCUUGAGAUCUGAAACCCUAACCCUAGUUUUUUCUUCUUCGCUCACCCAACAAGAGAGGUGAUUAAU
rnacentral:lncRNA from 1 species